ACGAACGCUGGCGGCGUGCCUAAUACAUGCAAGUCGAACGCUUCUUUCCUCCCGAGUGCUUGCACUCAAUUGGAAAGAGGAGCGGCGGACGGGUGAGUAACACGUGGGUAACCUACCCAUCAGAGGGGGAUAACACUUGGAAACAGGUGCUAAUACCGCAUAACAGUUUAUGCCGCAUGGCAUAAGAGUGAAAGGCGCUUUCGGGUGUCGUUGAUGGAUGGACCCGCGGUGCAUUAGCUAGUUGGUGAGGUAACGGCUCACCAAGGCCACGAUGCAUAGCCGACCUGAGAGGGUGAUCGGCCACACUGGGACUGAGACACGGCCCAGACUCCUACGGGAGGCAGCAGUAGGGAAUCUUCGGCAAUGGACGAAAGUCUGACCGAGCAACGCCGCGUGAGUGAAGAAGGUUUUCGGAUCGUAAAACUCUGUUGUUAGAGAAGAACAAGGACGUUAGUAACUGAACGUCCCCUGACGGUAUCUAACCAGAAAGCCACGGCUAACUACGUG
rnacentral:rRNA from 1 species